AUGGGAACGCGAAGAACCUUACCUACUCUUGACAUCCAGAGAACUUAGCAGAGAUGCUUUGGUGCCUUCGGGAACUCUGAGACAGGUGCUGCAUGGCUGUCGUCAGCUCGUGUUGUGAAAUGUUGGGUUAAGUCCCGCAACGAGCGCAACCCUUAUCCUUUGUUGCCAGCGGUCCGGCCGGGAACUCAAAGGAGACUGCCAGUGAUAAACUGGAGGAAGGUGGGGAUGACGUCAAGUCAUCAUGGCCCUUACGAGUAGGGCUACACACGUGCUACAAUGGCGCAUACAAAGAAAACGCGACCUCGCGAGAGCAAGCGGACCUCAUAAAGUGCGUCGUAGUCCGGAUUGGAGUCUGCAACUCGACUCCAUGAAGUCGGAAUCGCUAGUAAUCGUAGAUCAGAAUGCUACGGUGAAUACGUUCCCGGG
rnacentral:rRNA from 1 species